rnacentral:lncRNA from 10 species
UUAUGCAUCUAUUCUUCAACCAAAAAACUUCACUUCUUGGAAUGUAUCAUAAGGAUAUCGUGCUUUUAUUAAAUGUGCAAAAGUUAUCCAUGAAGAUGCUCGAUCUGUGGUCUGGUCAGGCUUGACUGGCUACAGGAAACAGACAUGCACAGUUUUACUUCUAGAGGAAAAAAGGCUGGAAGGGAGGCCUUUCUUAUACAGACCUAUAUGGACUGGAACUGCACAUACAGAUAAUUAAGCAUAGAGAACUAUGAGCUGGGCAUAAUUUCCUUCAGUGGGAGGCUGGGCAGGCAAAAAAUGUACAGGCUGGCAGUACAAUAUUUUAAUAUUGUGGUUAAGUUAAUAUAUCAAAUUAUGACGGUCAUUUUGGGAGUCAAAAUUGGUUAAUGACCACAAAGAAUUUACAAGCCAGGAGGAGUCAAGCAAUAUUAACAGGAUAUCUUGAGAUAAGCACCAUAAUAGACCCAGGCAAAAUUAAUCACUUCCUCAUUUAUUAUAUUUCCCAGUAGUACUUUUAGAAACCAGGUAUCUUCAGAAAUAAGUCUUACUGUCUAGUAAGUA